GCCAGAUGAGCCAGACGGGAUUUGGCACGAAAACAUGCAGGCGGGAAGAUUUCCAGAAAUUUCCUCCCUGCUAUAAAGUCUGCAAUCAACACUGAAUUGGGUUACUCGUCUUCCAGUGAAGACACUCGAAAAGAGAAUCGAGGAUUCACCAGCGAUGGCUGCAGUGGAGGCUGGACUGAUCUCUGAAAUAAAAACUGGCGAUGAUCUGAACGUCUGCCAGAGAUGAGCCGUCUGACAGGAGUGUGUGUUAGCAGAGUAUCCUGAGUGAUGAACCCUGGCAUGCACACACAGCUGGAUGAGCCUCUGGAGUCUCACACACACACACACACACACACACACACACACACUGUGAGAGGAUUCUGUUCAGGACAUGUGGAACUAGGCUCUGCCCACAGCUGAACACCAGGAACCUUUACUGGACCACAGGAACUUCAGGCAUGUUUUUACCAGAGGAACCAGAACUGAUUUGAAUUUAUUGUUUGUAGUUCCAGAAAACAUUUUAUUUCCUGUUCUGCAGUAGGUAGGCCUGCUUUUCUUGAGGGCUGGGAACUUGCACAGUGGAAUAAAUAUUGCUCAGUCAAAAUGACAAACCCUUAUGUCUGUCUCUUUUUUUUUUUUUUUUAAAUAACCUAUACACAAGGAACCUUUACUGGAACUCUACUGUGUGCUCAGUGUAUACUUAUAUAUUUUCUGUAGCAAGACUGUAUUGUUUACAAUCAAGUAAAACAGUUUAGAAGAAGCGAAAUGCAUGAAAUCAGAGCUCAGAAACCUGAUGUGUGAAGUGAUCGCUUCUCAAGAUUUUGCUCUCACACACACUCGCCCACACCACGUCACACAGACUGAUUUUUACUAACCAAACCAUCACCACUGCAAUCGUUCAUCAAGUGCAGAUAAAUCACUUUUACUCAUUUAUUCAAUGCCACUCAAACAAAUCUGUGCUAAACUAGACUAGAAUUAAACAAACACAUGUGUGCUAAAUUCAUAAAGCAAAGGACAGCCUGCUAGAAACAGUGGUUAAAAAAAACCCCACAAAAACUCUUAAAUAAUUUUCAAGAGAGACUUUGUUCAUGAGAUUAACCUUUUACCCUACAGCUGGAUAUUAUUUAUCUGAUGGUGUGAUUAGAUUUUUAUACAACAGUAAAUAAUACUGCCAUCAUUAGAUUGUUUAAUAGAAUUUACUGUUUUAUAUUUUAAUAAAUACUCAUUGGCAGAUGGCCUGGUGACGGUAACUCUGCUCCAUCACACCAUCCUGUCGUUGAUUGUUUUCCUAUUCCUUAAAUAGUCUUGUAUUGGCAUUGAACACCACCACUGCCAGCUACGACAUAUUUGUUUCCCCUAAAUGAUGUUAAAUUGUGAAGAGAGUUCAUCAUUCUACAUAAUACACACUUUUUGUUUUUUGAAAUAUCAUUUUGUUUUUGUUUUUUUUUUUAAACCCGCAUUUCCUAGUGGGCGAUGGUUUAUUUCACGGCUUGUACACAUACUUGUUGAACUCUGUUCACAAUCCUACUCACACACUUACUGAAAACACACCACGUCUCACACACAUCCUUACACACACUGCACUUGCACUCCUAAACUUCUGAAACCAA